rnacentral:rRNA from 1 species
UGGGAAGAAUAAAUGACGGUACCAUUUAUAAGGUCCGGCUAACUACGUGCCAGCAGCCGCGGUAAUACGUAGGGACCAAGCGUUGUUCGGAUUUACUGGGCGUAAAGGGCGCGUAGGCGGCGUGUCAAGUCAAUUGUGAAAUCUCCGAGCUUAACUCGGAACUGCCAAUUGAUACUGAUGUGCUAGAGUGCAGAAAGGGCAAUCGGAAUUCUUGGUGUAGCGGUGAAAUGCGUAGAUAUCAAGAGGAACACCUGAGGCGAAGGCGGGUUGCUAGGCUGACACUGACGCUGAGGCGCGAAAGCUAGGGUAGCAAACGGGAUUAGAUACCCCGGUAGUCCUAGCCCUAAACGAUGAAUACUUGGUGUCUGGAGUAAUUUAAUUCUCCGGGUGCCGUCGCUAACGUUUUAAGUAUUCCGCCUGGGGAGUACGCACGCAAGUGUGAAACUCAAAGGAAUUGACGGGGACCCGCACAAGCGGUGGAGCAUGUGGUUUAAUUCGACGCAACGCGAAGAACCUUACCUGGACUAGAAUGCCUUUGACCGUUCCGUAACGGGAACUUCCUGAGCAAUCAGGCAAAGUGCAAGGUGCUGCAUGGCUGUCGUCAGCUCGUGUCGUGAGAU